rnacentral:tRNA from 1 species
GGACUGUAGCUCAGUGGCAGAGCACUUGCCUAGUCUGCGUGAUACACUGGGUUCGAUCCUCAGCACCA